rnacentral:rRNA from 1 species
UACGUAGGAUGCAAGCGUUGUCCGGAUUUACUGGGCGUAAAGCGUGCGCAGGCGGCUUCGCAAGUCAGACGUGAAAGCCCCGGGCUUAACCUGGGAAUGGCGUUUGAAACUACGGAGCUGGAGUAUGGCAGAGGGGGGUGGAAUUCCACGUGUAGCGGUGAAAUGCGUAGAUAUGUGGAGGAACACCGAUGGCGAAGGCAGCCCCCUGGGCCAAUACUGACGCUCAUGCACGAAAGCGUGGGGAGCAAACAGG